rnacentral:ncRNA from 2 species
AUCGAAUCCAUAGCCAGGGGUGCCCGCUAUCAAGGGCAUAACGGGGAAGCCGGUGUGAGUCCGGCGCGGACCCGCCACUGUAAGUGGGAAGCUACCUCCGAAGUCACCACUCGAUGCGUCGGGGAAGGUGGAGGUGGCGCGGAACGCCGUCAGGCGCUCUGAAUCCACGAGCCAGGAGACCUACCCAGGGCUGUUCGACCCA